rnacentral:rRNA from 1 species
UACGUAGGGUCCAAGCGUUGUCCGGAUUUAUUGGGCGUAAAGAGCUCGUAGGCGGCUCAGUAAGUCGGAUGUGAAAACUCGGGGCUCAACCCCGAGACGCCAUCCGAUACUGCUGUGGCUUGAGUCUGGUAGGGGAACACGGAAUUCCUGGUGUAGCGGUGAAAUGCGCAGAUAUCAGGAGGAACACCGGUGGCGAAGGCGGGUCUCUGGGCAGUAACUGACGCUGAGGAGCGAAAGCGUGGGGAGCGAACAGG